rnacentral:rRNA from 1 species
CUCUAGACCCCUUUAACCGUACUGAGAACUUCUAUAGUAUUAUAGAACCUUUUAUGCUAAAACUAGUAACAAGAGGCAACCCCUCUCCCCAAUGCAAGUUAAAGCCAGCAAGAACCCACCACUGGCAACUAACAGACCUAAACAAGAGUAGUAACUUCACUAGAAAACCCCACUUCCCACAGCUGUUAACCUAACACCAGAGCAUUUCAAGAAAGAUUAAAAGGAAAAGAAGGAACUCGGCAACCAUUAGCCCCGCCUGUUUACCAAAAACACCGCCUCUUGCCUACAUAAGAGGUCUAGCCUGCCCAGUGACUCUUGUUCAACGGCCGCGGUAUCCUAACCGUGCAAAGGUAGCGUAAUCACUUGUCUUCUAAAUAAAGACCAGUAUGAAAGGCAUCACGAGGGCUAAACUGUCUCCUUUCCCUAAUCAGUGAACCUAAUCCCCCCGUGAAGAAGCGGGGAUUCCCAUAUAAGACGAGAAGACCCUAUGGAGCUUUAAACAUCAUAACACCUGCUACUAUAUUUUACUUACUCAGGUAUCUCCCCCC